rnacentral:piRNA from 2 species
UACCAUAAGGUUCUUUAGAGUUAGUGGAGC